ACAGAGGGGGCAAGCGUUGUCCGGACUGACUGGGCGUAAAGCGCACGCAGGCGGUUGUGGGCGUCGGUGCUGAAAGUCCACUGCUUAACAGUGGAACGCGUGCCGAUACGCCAUAACUGGAGCAAUGCAGAGGCCAGUGGAAUUGCCGGUGUAGUGGUGAAAUGCGUAGAGAUCGGCAGGAACACCCAAGGGGAAGCCAGCUGGCUGGGCAUUUGCUGACGCUCAUGUGCGACAGCGUGGGGAGCGAACUGGAUUAGAUACCCAGGUAGUCCACGCCGUAAACGAUGGAUGCUCGGUGUCUGGUGGGUAAUCAGUCCCGCUGGGCGCCUCAGCUAACGCGCAAGCAUCCCGCCUGGGAACUACGAGCGCAAGCUUA
rnacentral:rRNA from 1 species